GAUGAACGCUGGCGGCGUGCCUAAUACAUGCAAGUCGAGCGAACAGAUCAGUAGCUUGCUCCUUUGACGUUAGCGGCGUACGGGUUAGUACCACGUGGGUCACCUACCUAUAAGACUGGGAUCACUUCGGGAACCCGGAGCUCAUACCGGAUAACAUUUGGAACCGCAUGGUUCUAAAGUGAAAGAUGGUUUUGCUAUCACUUAUAGAUGGACCCGCGCCGUAUUAGCUAGUUGGUAAGGUAACGGCUUACCAAGGCAACGAUACGUAGCCGACCUGAGAGGGUGAUCGGCCACACUGGAACUGAGACACGGUCCAGACUCCUACGGGAGGCAGCAGUAGGGAAUCUUCCGCAAUGGGCGAAAGCCUGACGGAGCAACGCCGCGUGAGUGAUGAAGGGUUUCGGCUCGUAAAACGCUGUUAUAAGGGAAGAACAAAUGUGUAAGUAACUGUGCACGUCUUGACGGUACCUAAUCAGAAAGCCACGGCUAACUACGUG
rnacentral:rRNA from 1 species